GGCGGCGGCACGCCGUCGCGUCCGGGCCAGUCGGUUGGCGAACGCAGCGCUUCUUAGAGGGACGGGCGGCAGAAAGCCGCACGAGGCGGAGCGAUAACAGGUCUGUGAUGCCCUUAGAUGUCCGGGGCCGCACGCGCGCUACACUGGAGGUAUCAGCGGGCGCGUCUCCCCCGGCCCGAGAGGGUCGGGAAACCUCUGAACCACCUCCCGUGAUAGGGAUCGGGGCCUGGAACCAACCCCGUGAACGAGGAAUUCCCGGUAGGCGCGGGUCAUCAGCCCGCGUCGAUCACGUCCCUGCCCUUUGUACACACCGCCCGUCGCUACUACCGAUCGAACGGUCCGGUGAGGUCCUCGGAUCUGGCCGACGAGUCCGCUUACGCGCGGCGGCGUUCCACGCCGUCGUCGGCGCGUUCUCUGAUGGCCCGGAGAAGACGACCGAACCCGAUCGCUUAGAGGAAGUAAAAGUCGUAACAAGGUUUCCGUAGGUGAACCUGCGGAAGGAUCAUUAGCGCCGUGUUCUCGAAAGAGAAGAAGAAAAUAAACAUUCGCGAUCCGCCCAAUUUCUUUUUUUUUUUCUUUGUAUAAGUCGCGGCCGGGCCCCCUCGCCCGAGUACCACCGAAUGCUCUUGAUUCGGCCCUCUAACAGCGCAGCAGUAGCAGUCGCGGCAGCCCGCCGACACGCCGCGACUCUCUGCUGCCGACCGCGCAACCACCCUGCCGGCGUCGUUCCGCCCUCAUGGCGCUCGGACGACGGGGCUUGCACGCUUUGCGAGCUCCAUGACCAUUUCUCUCUUCCUUCCUGCCUCGCCGACCGCGCGAUUCGGCCUAGGCCGUGGGCGCCGCCCGGCGCCUUCCGAUGACCACCGUAACGCGCGGCCGUCUUUUUUUUCCUCGCCUCCUAGUGCGCAGUCUCUUCGCGAGACUUGCCGAGCCAAAAGUCGCGGCCGGGCCCCCUCGCCCGAGUACCACCGAAUGCUCUUGAUUCGGCCCUCUAACAGCGCAGCAGUAGCCGUCGCGGCAGCCCGCCGACACGCGCCGCGACUCUCUGCUGCCGACCGCGCAACCACCCUGCCGGCGUCGGCCCGCCCUCAUGGCGCUCGGACGACGGGGCUUGCACGCUUUGCGAGCUCCAUGACCAUUUCUCUCUUCCUUCCUGCCUCGCCGUUGGCGUCGGCAGUGGCGCGCUUCGUUCCGCUGUCGACGCCUUCGAAUCUCAUUUUAUUUUUUUCCGUCGCGCGGCGCCGGCCUCCUGUCGGGGGCCGCUGCCGCUUUCCUUUUUUUUUUUUUUUUAUCUUUCCGUACGUCUAGCGCGUAGUAGUAGCAAAUAUACCGAAACCCUGGACGGGGGAUCACUCGGCUCGUCCGUCGAUGAAGUGCGCGGCUAUCCGCGUGAACUGAUGCGAAUUGCAGGACUCAGUGAACAUCGACACCUCGAAAGCACAUUGCGGCCCCGGGAUCCUAUCGUCCCGGGGCCCCGUCCGGUCGAGAGGCGGUCAAGACACGAAAACGCAGUCCGCCGCGGCCGUUGUCUGCGGCGGGGAGUCGGGAGUCGCAGGAAAGGGCGGCGCUCGCACUCCCUCAUUUUUGCGGGCAUGAGAAGGCUAGGCUACGAUAACCACCUGAUCAGACUUGUGGGACAGCUCUACGGGGGCUCCACCACCACAUUCACGAUUGGGUCGGAGAGCAGCACGCCGAUCGAGAUUAGGCGCGGUGUCCGACAGGGCGACGCCCUAUCACCCCUCCUAUUCAACAUCGCGACCGACCCGCUGCUGGGAGCCCUGCCCGCCGAUAUGGGCCUCCAGAUCUGCGGAGCGGUCAUGGCGGGCCUCGCGUAUGCGGAUGACUUAGUGCUAGUCUCCGGCUCGAGCCGGGGACUACAGAGCCUCCUCGACAAGUGCUCGGAGUUCUACCACGCGGUAGGGCUUUCCAUUAAUGUCUCCAAAUGCGCGUGGUUCUCUAUCUGGAACUGGGGAAAGUCAUUCCUAGUAAAUGUGACGUCGACGCCAAAACUCGGUGGUUGCCCAUUACCACGAGUCGAACCAGACGAAAGCGUGCCGUACCUAGGGGUAAAAGCUCUCCCCUGGUCGACACAGAACAGAGAGACAUCGGUGGAGACCGUAUCACGAUGCAUAGACGAUAUAUGCCGGGCUUCGCUAAAGCCCCGUCAAAAGUUCAUGAUGCUACAGCAGUACUACCUGCCGAGCCUGUUUUACGGAUUAACACUGGCGAUACCAUCGAAAGUAGCACUGGAUGAACUGGAUAUGGCAAUAAGAGGUGGGGCGCGUAGGAUGCUCCAUCUCCCCGAUUCAACGUCAAAAAGCUUCCUGUAUAGUGCAAGAAGGGACGGGGGCUUCAGCCUCUGUCAGUUAGCGCGCGCUAUUCCAAAAAACGUGAUUCGCAGGAAUCAGCGUUUACUGAACUCAGAUUACGAUGCCGUUCGAACGAUAGCUCAGGCGGCCCGGCUCGCCACUAAGAACGCGGAGCUGGCCGCCCUAUACGA
rnacentral:lncRNA from 1 species